rnacentral:rRNA from 1 species
ACCUCCAGCAUCCUCAGUAUUGGAGGCACUGCCUGCCCAGUGACAAGCGUUAAACGGCCGCGGUAUCCUGACCGUGCAAAGGUAGCAUAAUCAUUUGUUCUCUAAAUAAGGACUUGUAUGAAUGGCCACACGAGGGUUUUACUGUCUCUUACUUCCAAUCAGUGAAAUUGACCUUCCCGUGAAGAGGCGGGAAUAAACAAAUAAGACGAGAAGACCCUAUGGAGCUUUAACUAAUUAGUCCAGAGAAAAUAAAUUCUAACCACCAAGGGACAGCAAUAUCCUCCAUGGACUAACAGCUUUGGUUGGGGUGACCUCGGAGAAUAAAAAAUCCUCCGAGCGAUUUUAAAGACUAGACCCACAAGUCAAAUCAAAUUAUCGCUUAUUGAUCCAAAAACUUGAUCAACGGAACAAGUUACCCUAGGGAUAACAGCGCAAUCCUAUUCAAGAGUCCAUAUCGACAAUAGGGUUUACGACCUCGAUGUUGGAUCAGGACACCCCGAUGGUGCAACCGCUAUCAAA